CUACGGAAGGCAGCAGUGGGGAAUUUUGCGCAAUGGGCUAACGCCUGACGCAGCAACGCCGCGUGGAGGAUGAAGGUCUUUGGAUUGUAAACUCCUGUCAGCGGGGAAAAAGCGACUCGUGCUCAUACCACGGGGAGUUGAUUGUACCCGCAGAGGAAGCCCCGGCUAACUCUGUGCCAGCAGCCGCGGUAAUACAGAGGGGGCAAGCGUUAUUCGGAAUUAUUGGGCGUAAAGGGCGCGUAGGCGGCUUGGCAAGUGGAAGGUGAAAUCCCUCGGCUUAACCGAGGAACUGCCCUCCAAACUGCUUUGCUUGAGGCCGGGAGAGGCGAGUGGAAUUCCCAGUGUAGCGGUGAAAUGCGUAGAUAUUGGGAGGAACACCAGUGGCGAAGGCGGCUCGCUGGACCGGUUCUGACGCUGAGGCGCGAAAGCGUGGGGAGCAAACGGGAUUAGAUACCCUGGU
rnacentral:rRNA from 1 species